GUAGCAAUACAUCACCGGCGGACGGGUGCGUAACACGUGGGAAUAUACCUUUCGGUACGGAACAACUGCGGGAAACUGCAGCUAAUACCGUAUACGUCCUAGCGGAGAAAGAUUUAUCGCCGAAGGAUUAGCCCGCGUUCGAUUAGCUAGUUGGUGAGGUAAUGGCUCACCAAGGCAACGAUCGAUAGCUGUUCUGAGAGGAAGAUCAGCCACACUGGGACUGAGACACGGCCCAGACUCCUACGGGAGGCAGCAGUUGGGAAUCUUGGACAAUGGGGGAAACCCUGAUCCAGCCAUGCCGCGUGAGUGAUGAAGGCCUUCGGG
rnacentral:rRNA from 1 species